UUAAUUGAAACCAAAGAAGAGGUUUUUCAUUGUUAAUGAUUAAAUUGAUUAUUAAUCCAAUUAAA
rnacentral:tRNA from 1 species